UUUCCACAGCCAGUGGGUGCUGGUAGCUGGUGUAUCAGUAGCAGUGUCUUCACUGGGUGUUAUCCAACCAAGGCAGUUCACUUAC